CCCUGCCUUUUGUACACACCGCCUGUUGCUACUACCAAUUGAAUGAUUUAGUGAGAACUUCAGACAACUCACCAGGCAGCCUCCAGGCCGCUUGUGGUGUGGUUGAAAGUUGUUCAAACUUGAUCCUUUAGAGGAAGUAAAAGUUGUAAC
rnacentral:rRNA from 1 species